rnacentral:rRNA from 1 species
CGUAGCUAAUACCGCAUACGAUCUGAGGAUGAAAGCGGGGGACCUUCGGGCCUCGCGCGAAAGAAUGAGCCGAUGCCCGAUUAGCUAGUUGGCGGGGUAAGAGCCCACCAAGGCGACGAUCGGUAGCUGGUCUGAGAGGAUGAUCAGCCACACUGGAACUGAGACACGGUCCAGACUCCUACGGGAGGCAGCAGUGGGGAAUAUUGGACAAUGGGCGCAAGCCUGAUCCAGCCAUACCGCGUGGGUGAAGAAGGCCUUCGGGUUGUAAAGCCCUUUUGUUGGGAAAGAAAAGCAGUCGGUUAAUACCCGAUUGUUCUGACGGUACCCAAAGAAUAAGCACCGGCUAACUUCGUGCCAGCAGCCGCGGUAAUACGAAGGGUGCAAGCGUUACUCGGAAUUACUGGGCGUAAAGCGUGCGUAGGUGGUUGAUUAAGUCUGUCGUGAAAGCCCUGGGCUCAACCUGGGAAUUGCGAUGGAAACUGGUUGACUAGAGUGUGGCAG